rnacentral:rRNA from 1 species
ACGGGAAUCUUCGGAUUCUAGUGGCGGACGGGUGAGUAACGCGUAAGAAUCUAACUUCAGGACGGGGACAACAGUGGGAAACGACUGCUAAUACCCGAUGUGCCGCAAGGUGAAACCUAAUUGGCCUGGAGAAGAGCUUGCGUCUGAUUAGCUAGUUGGUGGGGUAAAGGCCUACCAAGGCGACGAUCAGUAGCUGGUCUGAGAGGAUGAGCAGCCACACUGGGACUGAGACACGGCCCAGACUCCUACGGGAGGCAGCAGUGGGGAAUUUUCCGCAAUGGGCGAAAGCCUGACGGAGCAACGCCGCGUGAGGGAGGAAGGUCUUUGGAUUGUAAACCUCUUUUCUCAAGGAAGAAGUUCUGACGGUACUUGAGGAAUCAGCCUCGGCUAACUCCGUGCCAGCAGCCGCGGUAAUACGGGGGAGGCAAGCGUUAUCCGGAAUUAUUGGGCGUAAAGCGUCCGCAGGUGGUCAGCCAAGUCUGCCGUCAAAUCAGGUUGCUUAACGACCUAAAGGCGGUGGAAACUGGCAGACUAUAGAGCAGUAGGGGUAGCAGGAAUUCCCAGUGUAGCGGUGAAAUGC